CAACAAGAUAAGAGUUAAGAGUCUCUCAGAAAAAGCAGCAAAAACGCCAUCACAGACCGAGAGAAAGAAAGAAGAGAGACGCGAUGAAGCUCUUCGGAAAGCACAUAUUUCCUCGGCAGAUCAUAGUUGCUGCAACUGCGCUUCUGUUCUUGGCAUCAACGACGUACGACGUCCAUAGAGGCAUAAAGAACAAUGACACUCCUCCUUCAAAGGAACAAAUUGAAGCCCUUCAGGAUUACAUCAAGUCUGUUCGCCGAUCUCCAUAGAUAAUGACAGAAAGAUCAAUGGAACAUACCCUCCUUAAUUAUCGAUCACUCCAUUUAAAGUUUCUAUUGUAUUCAGUUCUUCCUCUGCUAAGGAAUAUAAAAUCCACUUCGUUUCACAAUAAUUGAUAAAAUAAGAUGUAAAAAUGAUCUCGGUGCAUAAGAAGCAGUGUUUCCUAAAGAAAUGCACUUGAGAUGUUUGUGAAUU